rnacentral:rRNA from 1 species
GACGAACGCUGGCGGCGUGCCUAAUACAUGCAAGUCGAACGAGAGCAACCGGUGCUUGCACUGGUCAAUCUAGUGGCGAACGGGUGAGUAACACGUGGGUAACCUGCCCAUCAGAGGGGGAUAACAUCCGGAAACGGAUGCUAAAACCGCAUAGGUCUUCGAACCGCAUGGUUUGAAGAGGAAAAGAGGCGCAAGCUUCUGCUGAUGGAUGGACCUGCGGUGCAUUAGCUGGUUGGUGAGGUAACGGCUCACCAAGGCCGUGAUGCAUAGCCGACCUGAGAGGGUGAUCGGCCACAUUGGGACUGAGACACGGCCCAAACUCCUACGGGAGGCAGCAGUAGGGAAUCUUCCGCAAUGGACGCAAGUCUGACGGAGCAACGCCGCGUGAGUGAAGAAGGUUUUCGGAUCGUAAAACUCUGUUGUUAGAGAAGAACAAGUGCUAGAGUAACUGUUAGCGCCUUGACGGUAUCUAACCAGAAAGCCACGGCUAACUACGUG